CACUAUCAUUAACUGAAUCCAUAGGUUAAUGAGGCGAACCGGGGGAACUGAAACAUCUAAGUACCCCGAGGAAAAGAAAUCAACCGAGAUUCCCCCAGUAGCGGCGAGCGAACGGGGAGGAGCCCAGAGCCUGAAUCAGUGUGUGUGUUAGUGGAAGCGUCUGGAAAGGCGCGCGAUACAGGGUGACAGCCCCGUACACAAAAAUGCACAUACUGUGAGCUCGAUGAGUAGGGCGGGACACGUGGUAUCCUGUCUGAAUAUGGGGGGACCAUCCUCCAAGGCUAAAUACUCCUGACUGACCGAUAGUGAACCAGUACCGUGAGGGAAAGGCGAAAAGAACCCCGGCGAGGGGAGUGAAAAAGAACCUGAAACCGUGUACGUACAAGCAGUGGGAGCCUCUUUUAUGGGGUGACUGCGUACCUUUUGUAUAAUGGGUCAGCGACUUAUAUUCUGUAGCAAGGUUAACCGAAUAGGGGAGCCGAAGGGAAACCGAGUCUUAACUGGGCGUUAAGUUGCAGGGUAUAGACCCGAAACCCGGUGAUCUAGCCAUGGGCAGGUUGAAGGUUGGGUAACACUAACUGGAGGACCGAACCGACUAAUGUUGAAAAAUUAGCGGAUGACUUGUGGCUGGGGGUGAAAGGCCAAUCAAACCGGGAGAUAGCUGGUUCUCCCCGAAAGCUAUUUAGGUAGCGCCUCGUGAAUUCAUCUCCGGGGGUAGAGCACUGUUUCGGCAAGGGGGUCAUCCCGACUUACCAACCCGAUGCAAACUGCGAAUACCGGAGAAUGUUAUCACGGGAGACACACGGCGGGUGCUAACGUCCGUCGUGAAGAGGGAAACAACCCAGACCGCCAGCUAAGGUCCCAAAGUCAUGGUUAAGUGGGAAACGAUGUGGGAAGGCCCAGACAGCCAGGAUGUUGGCUUAGAAGCAGCCAUCAUUUAAAGAAAGCGUAAUAGCUCACUGGUCGAGUCGGCCUGCGCGGAAGAUGUAACGGGGCUAAACCAUGCACCGAAGCUGCGGCAGCGACGCUUAUGCGUUGUUGGGUA
rnacentral:rRNA from 1 species